rnacentral:misc_RNA from 1 species
CAACCCUCAAGCCCCAGUGGUUUGGUGUUGGUGGCCGGCCGGGGCUUUUUUGGUCCGGGCCGCCGCCGAAAUGCAGGGGCGGUCGCCUCGCGGUAACCAUUACGCAGUAGUAACAUCUCGUAACUUGGGACGCGGAGCGGCCACGCCUAACCCCCAAAUCUCCUAGAG